rnacentral:rRNA from 1 species
AGAGUUUGAUCCUGGCUCAGGACGAACGCUGGCGGCGUGCUUCACACAUGCAAGUCGAACGGGGUUUUAGGAAAAGCUUGCUUUUUCUCUGACCUAGUGGCGGACGGGUGAGUAACCCGUGAGCAAUCUGUCCGACAAUCCGGGAUAACAGCGGGAAACUGUUGCUAAUACCGGAUACGCCGUUUUGGUCGCAUGGCCAAGACGGGAAAGGGUUUACCGAUGUCGGAUGAGCUCGCGUCCCAUUAGCUAGUUGGCAGGGUAACGGCCUACCAAGGCGACGAUGGGUAGCUGGUCUGAGAGGACGAUCAGCCACACUGGAACUGAGACACGGUCCAGACUCCUACGGGAGGCAGCAGUGGGGAAUAUUGCACAAUGGGCGCAAGCCUGAUGCAGCGACGCCGCGUGAAGGAUGAAGGUCUUCGGAUCGUAAACUUCUGUCUGGGGGGAUGAAUACUGACAGUACCCCCGGAGGAAGCCCCGGCUAACUACGUGCCAGCCGCCGCGGUAAUUC